rnacentral:rRNA from 1 species
GACGAACGCUGGCGGCGUGCUUAACACAUGCAAGUCGAACGGAAAGGCCCUGCUUUUGUGGGGUGCUCGAGUGGCGAACGGGUGAGUAACACGUGAGUAACCUGCCCGUGACUUUGGGAUAACUUCAGGAAACUGGGGCUAAUACCGGAUAGGAGCUCCUGCUGCAUGGUGGGGGUGGGAAAGGUUCGGCGGUUGGGGAUGGACUCGCGGCUUAUCAGCUUGUUGGUGGGGUAGUGGCUUACCAAGGCUUUGACGGGUAGCCGGCCUGAGAGGGUGACCGGCCACAUUGGGACUGAGAUACGGCCCAGACUGCUACGGGAGGCAGCAGUGGGGAAUAUUGCACGAUGGGCGGAAGCCUGAUGCAGCAACGCCGCGUGCUGGAUGACGGCCUUCGGGUUGUAAACCGCUUUCGCCUGUGACGAAGCGUGAGUGACGGUAAUGGGUAAAGAAGCACCGGCUAACUACGUG